CGAAAGCCUGACGGAGCAACGCCGCGUGAGGGAUGAAGGCCUCUGGGCUGUAAACCUCUUUUAUCAAGGAAGAAGAUCUGACGGUACUUGAUGAAUAAGCCACGGCUAAUUCCGUGCCAGCAGCCGCGGUAAUACGGGAGUGGCAAGCGUUAUCCGGAAUUAUUGGGCGUAAAGCGUCCGCAGGUGGCUCUGUAAGUCUGUCGUUAAAGCGUGGAGCUCAACUCCAUUUCAGCGAUGGAAACUACAGAGCUUGAGUGUGGUAGGGGCAGAGGGAAUUCCCGGUGUAGCGGUGAAAUGCGUAGAUAUCGGGAAGAACACCAGUGGCGAAGGCGCUCUGCUGGGCCAUAACUGACACUCAUGGACGAAAGCCAGGGGAGCG
rnacentral:rRNA from 1 species